UACAGAGGUGGCAAGCGUUGUUCGGAAUUACUGGGCGUAAAGGGCGCGUAGGCGGCCUUCUAAGUCGGACGUGAAAUCCCCAGGCUUAACUUGGGAACUGCGUCCGAUACUGGAAGGCUCGAGUGCGGGAGAGGGAUGUGGAAUUCCAGGUGUAGCGGUGAAAUGCGUAGAUAUCUGGAGGAACACCGGUGGCGAAGGCAGCCUUCUGGGCCAACGCUGACGCUCAUGCACGAAAGCGUGGGGAGCAAACAGG
rnacentral:rRNA from 1 species